CUCUUAGAUAUCUUGGGCGACACGUGCGAUACAAUGAUAUACACAAUCAGUUUGUAUUUUGAAAAUAAUUUACGUAAUCAGGAAAGUAUAUCUCGGUUAGGAUUGUUUAUUGUAAUUUAAACAUGAAUUUGGAAUAUCUUGUAAAUAUAACAUAAAACGUUAUAUUGAAUAUGUCCCUGCCUUUUGUACACACCGCCUGUCGUAUCUAGUGAUUAGUUUUGCCCAUAAGAGUGUUUUGGAUAUUCUUAUUUAUAAUUAAAAAUAUGUUAUAUUUUCAAAUGGUUAAAACCAGAACCAGAUCAAGUCAUAACA
rnacentral:rRNA from 1 species